UACGUAGGCAGCGAGCGUUGUUCGGAGUUACUGGGCGUAAAGAGUGCGUAGGCGGUUUCUAAGUUUGGUGUGAAAUCUCCCGGCUUAACUGGGAGGGUGCGCCGAAGACUGGAAGGCUUGAGUAUGGGAGAGGUAAGCGGAAUUCCUGGUGUAGCGGUGAAAUACGUAGAUAUCAGGAGGAACACCUGCGGUGUAGACGGCUUACUGGACCAUAACUGACGCUGAGGCACGAAAGCGUGGGUAGCAAACAGG
rnacentral:rRNA from 1 species